AACCGACUAAUGUUGAAAAAUUAGCGGAUGACCUGUGGCUGGGGGUGAAAGGCCAAUCAAACCGGGAGAUAGCUGGUUCUCCCCGAAAGCUAUUUAGGUAGCGCCUCGUGAAUUCAUCUCCGGGGGUAGAGCACUGUUUCGGCUAGGGGGCCAUCCCGGCUUACCAACCCGAUGCAAACUGCGAAUACCGGAGAAUGUUAUCACGGGAGACACACGGCGGGUGCUAACGUCCGUCGUGAAGAGGGAAACAACCCAGACCGCCAGCUAAGGUCCCAAAGUCAUGGUUAAGUGGGAAACGAUGUGGGAAGGCCCAGACAGCCAGGAUGUUGGCUUAGAAGCAGCCAUCAUUUAAAGAAAGCGUAAUAGCUCACUGGUCGAGUCGGCCUGCGCGGAAGAUGUAACGGGGCUAAACCAUGCACCGAAGCUGCGGCAGCGAACGUAUCACCCAAGACAACUUUACGGAGUUGACGAUUGACGGAGCGAAGCGACGUCAAAGCGUUCAUUAAAGUCGAGUUGGCUUAGGGAUACGUUCGUUGGGUAGGGGAGCGUUCUGUAAGCCUGUGAAGGUGUGUCGUGAGGCAUGCUGGAGGUAUCAGAAGUGCGAAUGCUGACAUAAGUAACGAUAAAGCGGGUGAAAAGCCCGCUCGCCGGAAGACCAAGGGUUCCUGUCCAACGUUAAUCGGGGCAGGGUGAGUCGACCCCUAAGGCGAGGCCGAAAGGCGUAGUCGAUGGGAAACGGGUUAAUAUUCCCGUACUUGGUGUUACUGCGAAGGGGGGACGGAGAAGGCUAUGUUGGCCGGGCGACGGUUGUCCCGGUUUAAGCGUGUAGGUGUGUGUUCCAGGUAAAUCCGGUUCACUUUAACACUGAGGCGUGACGACGAGGCACUACGGUGCUGAAGCAACAAAUGCCCUGCUUCCAGGAAAAGCCUCUAAGCAUCAGGUAACAC
rnacentral:rRNA from 1 species